rnacentral:miRNA from 1 species
AACUAAAUUUAUUAUUGGUAUGAGCUUUCGUGUGCAUGCACACUUUUUCAGAUACAAGUCCACUGAAUACACUGUUUCAGAUACACUGAAACAGAAGUCCACUGAAACUUCUGUUUCAGAGUAUCUGAAGAAGUGUGCAUGCACACGAAAGCUCAUACCAAUAACAAACUUAGUUGG